rnacentral:rRNA from 1 species
CGUGAGCAACCUACCGAACUGUGGGGGAUAGCCGGCCUAACGGCCGGGUAAUACCGCAUACGAUUGCUCUGGGGCAUCCUGGGGCAAGGAAAGCUGGGGGCAACCCUGGCGCAGGACGAGGGGCUCGCGGCCUAUCAGCUAGUUGGCGGGGUAAUGGCCCACCAAGGCAGUGACGGGUAGCUGGUCUGAGAGGAUGGCCAGCCACAUUGGGACUGAGAGACGGCCCAG